GGUGGAAUGCGUAGAUAUUAUGAAGAAUACCAGUGGCGAAGGCGGCCUCCUGGAUCUGUACUGACACUAAGGUGCGAAAGCGUGGGUAGCGAACAGGAUUAGAUACCCUGGUAGUCCACGCCGUAAACGAUGACAACUAGCUGUUGGGAGACAAUGUCUUUCAGUGGCGCAGCUAACGUUUUAAGUUGUCCGCCUGGGGAGUACGGCCGCAAGGCUAAAACUCAAAUGAAUUGACGGGGACCCGCACAAGCGGUGGAGCAUGUGGUUUAAUUCGAUGCAACGCGAAAAACCUUACCUACUCUUGACAUACUUGGAAGCUCUUGUAAUGAGAGUGUGCCUUUUGGAGCCAAGAUACAGGUGCUGCAUGGCUGUCGUCAGCUCGUGUCGUGAGAUGUUCCGUUAAGUCGGAUAACGAGCGCAACCCUUACCCUUAUUUGCCAGCGGUUCGGCCGGGAACUAUAAGGGGACUGCCGGUGACAAACCGGAGGAAGGUGAGGACGACGUCAAGUCAUCAUGGCCCUUACGAGUAGGGCUACACACGUGCUACAAUGGGGAAUACAGACGGACGCUAAAGCGUGAGCUGGUGCUAAUCCUAAAAAAUUUCUCGUAGUCCGGAUUGCAGUCUGCAACUCGACUGCAUGAAGUCGGAAUCGCUAGUAAUCGCGAAUCAGCAUGUCGCGGUGAAUACGUUCUCG
rnacentral:rRNA from 1 species